rfam:Thauera sp. 27 Cont4, whole genome shotgun sequence.
GAAGUUCGCCAGGCAGUCGCUGCGCACCUCGUCGUGCGUGGAGGAAAGUCCGGGCCCCGCAGAGCAGGAUGCCGGCUAACGGCCGGGCGCCGUGAGGCGACGGAAAGUGCAACAGAGAGCAGACCGCCGAUGGCUCGCGCAAGCGUGAUCAGGUAAGGGUGAAACGGUGUCGUGGCGUGCGCAAGCACGACGCGGGCGGGUGCGAAAGCGCCGGCGGGUAAGAGCCCACCGCAGGACUGGUAACAGGACUGGCACGGCAAACCCCAUCCGGGGCAAGGCCAAAUAGGGGAGCAUUGGCGUGGCUCGCGUCGCUCCCGGGUAGGCUGCUAGAGGGUCGCGGUAACGCGGCUCCCAGAGGAAUGACUGCCCGAUGGCGGUGGCUUAGGCCGCUGCCGUUCGACAGAACCCGGCUUAUCGGCGAACUUCCCCC